rnacentral:lncRNA from 1 species
AAUCUCAAACUUGCCAAGACCACAUCAUGCUAUGAUAUUCUUCCUUUUCCUUAUAUGUAUAUGGAUAAUAUGUGUAAGAUACAUACAUACAUACAUGCAUACAUAUAUGUGUGUGUGUAUAUAUAUAUGUAUACAUAUGUUAUAUGUAUAUAAAAAAAACUAGUAGCUGCUGUACCAUUGCAUCUUUUCCAAGCACUCCCCUUUUAAUGUUUGCAAAACUUUGCCUUGUUUAUUCCACUGCUUUUAGUUGAUUCAAAUGGGUGGGUUGGGAAAUUGUCUUUCCACAAGAUGCUGUCUUUCCCCCUUUAAAUAAUCUGUUUGUAGCAGUUAAUAGCAACAGCAACUAUAUAUAUAUAUAUAUACACACACACACACACACAUAUUUCCAUAUAUAUAUAUAUAUAUAGUUAUUACAAAUAUAAUAAAUUUAGUGGACUCACUGACUCUUCCUGGAUGUAACCCACUACUCUGUGCCCUUCAGGCUUGGCAUGAGUAACGUUAGAGAAAGCGUUGGAAUAAUAAGAGUCUUUCCAGGUCAAGUUGAUAAUGACACUGUGGCAGGCAGGACUGAAGACAAGGGAGAGCUCGAGUUUAGAACUGUGGUAUUGGAUCUGAGUUUUGAAGGAAGUUAGAGAGUUUGUCAACAUUAAAAAUGAAUCAUAUAUUCUUCUGGGAAAUGAUUUUUUUAAGAAUUCCUAUAGCUGCAUAUUUGUCAAAAAGUUAACAAACUUAACUAGAAAGAUUUCAGAUACUGAGGAAAACACUCCUGUAACCUACAGCCUUUUUGAGAGAUCUUCAGUUUUUUCUUUUUGCCAGAUAAUUGCAUUUGGCUUAAUAUGGUUUGACAGUUCUUUAGGUUUCUCCCUUGAGCAAAAUAACAUAAUAUUUGGUAGCUUAAGAUUCAUCUGUUUCUUGUUGAUAACAGAUGUGACAUGUUGGGGGGGAGACCAAGCUGAACCAAUGCUCAAAACCCAGCACAAAUCUAUCUAAUAACCCCCCACCUCCCUUAAAUACAUUUUAACUGUGAAGAGGAGACUGGUGGCCAAAAAGGAGAAAGCAGAGGCUCCUGGUAGUGUUACCUGAUAGCACAACUGUUAGCAGGUGGCCUCAACUCAGUCAUGUUAACUCUCGGAUUAUUAUGUUUAGGAGGAAUAUCAUUUAACCUUUGUGCCUCAGAUUACCCAUUAGAAAAUUGGGUAUAAUAAUAUUCACCUACCUCCCAGGGAUAUCAGAGACUUUUUCAAAAAUAUUUUGAGUUUUUCUAAAAUGUCCUAUAUAAUUAAAAAAAAAGUAUUAUCAUCUUCCUUCAGAGGCUGAAAAAUAUUUCCCUUAUGAUGGGUAUAAAAAGCACCAUACAAUUUUUAAGUUAAAAAAAGAAUCACUGGAAUUCUAAUUUAGAUGCAUAUUUGUUAUUUAAACAUAUUAUAUUUGUGGUGGGAUAAAGUGGUUAGUUUCAGGUUAAGAAGGGGGAAGUGGGUAAAUAACACUAAGUUUCUUAAUUAUAAGUAGAUCUUUUAGCCAUUUAUGGAAUUAUUACGUGUGUGAUUUUUGCCAGGGUUAUGGAGCUGAAGCUAGAUCAACGUUGGAUGAUUGGUUAUUAGAGUCGAUUAAGGAUCCCAAAAGUUUUAUCUGCCUCACUUUGCCAUCGUCUCAAUCUAAUUUCCUUAUAUUACUUGUUUAGUGAUGGAUAGUAAGCUUUUAACUUGUUGAGAAUGAAUGAGAGUCUCCUCAUUCCUGUAGAUCAGAGAUGGUGUACUAUUCCUGUGAUUGAUUAUAGGCUUAUCCGGCUUUGCACUGAAGACGCAAGCAUCACAGUCAGCUGGGUAUACUUUUAGCCAGGCUACCUUUGUAAUUUAUGCUUCUUCAGCACGUAAGAGUUGGAGCCAUCAACUGCUCAGGUUGUAGGAAAAUGAGAGGGGGAGGCAGGACUCUCUUCUGAGCUGGGGCAGGGUUGGGAGGGUUGGGGUCGAAGGAAACAUGCUCGCCCAGCUCCAAGGAGGAAAGGAAGGUCAUCUUAUCCCACCCCCACUGGGUACACUAAGCAGUACUACAUAGAACUUCCCUUUUCACAUUUAAGACAACAACGGGAAAAAAUGGAUGCCAUCUUUGUAGCUAGAGCUGAAUGCUGAGCACCAUUUGUUUGGCGGGGGGCGGGGGUAGCACAUAUUCAGGGUUAGGAGAGAGAAUGUAGCCGGAUGAGGAACCGACUGUCCAGUGUAAGUGAGUCAGGAGAAAGCAGCGGGCCCAAGCAGACAGAGCCUCUGGGUUAAUUCCCAGAACUGGCCGAGGCUCAUUUCAUCUCUAGUGAUAGGAAGUUUUAAAAAUCACUUUUUGGUUUUUUGUUGCUUUUUCCAGAGAAAGCCUUAGUUAGUAGCCUCUAAAUAUCAACUAUGCAGGUAAACAUACAAGUUUUCCACAUUUUCCCUCGUGUUCCAUUCUUUAAAGAACAGAUGUGAAUGAAGACUUCUGCCCAAAGAAAUAAGACAUAAGGGUUUUGUUGAAUGUGUGUUCGUUCCUCUAGGGAAAAUUAAUGAAAACAUAAAAAUAGACAUAUUUUAUGUGUUCAUCUAUCCUAAAAUGUGAGCAUAAUAUUCAGAAACUAAGUGCAGAUUCUUCUACUGGUGAGGAUCAUGGAAUGUCUUUGUGUCGUUAAGAUGAAACCAUCCCAGUGUUCAAUUCUGAGAAAGUUUUAGAUUCUUUGGCACAGUGUUCAGGUCUGUGGAGCUGAACAGAUGGUCAGACUCUGAUUAAAAAGUAGCUUUGAAUAUUAAUGUCCAGUUCUUACUCUUUCUUCGUUUUCUUAAGACUUCACUCUUCUUUGCCCUGGUGUUAAGUUAACCAUUUCAUUGGCCAGUUGCUGCACCAGAAUAUAGGUUGCUGGGCGUCUGGGGAGGAAAGGUUACUCUGUCGUUGCCGUCCUGAUCGCAGGCACAUUGGCCUCUGUCCCCAAGGACCUCAAACGGAAAAGCCGCAGGCGUGUCCCAGGGGCUCUUUACACCCAGCGCAGCCUGAGAGGGCGGACUGGGAGCACUUUCAUCAGAAGCUGCCCUUGAAUAAGCUGAUUAAAUUGCGUUUUUCUCAGAUGCUCCCACAGUACCUUUUGUGUGAAAGUAGCCACUUGUGAUCUUGAUUGAAUGUCUUCGUACUGUAAUUUCUUCCUACGUCUCCUUCUCCAUCUUUCUUACAUAAUUUCCACUUUAGAGCAGGUUAGUACUUACAUUUUGGACACCUUUCCAAACUGUUACCCAAACAGGUCGAAAACACUCUUAGAGAGAUCCCAGUGGUAUAAUUAAGGGGGUCUCUAUGUCCGGGGCUUAGACUCGUCACUGGUGACCCGAAUUUUUUUCUCUUCUCAUUCGUGUUAAAAAUAGAUUUCUCUGCUAUAUAUAAUGUGGUAGUAGCUAGGGGCAUUGCAUGGCUUCCUCUUGAUACUUUUCAAGAUUUUUCCGAAGAGGUGCAGACCUUUGUUAGGGCUCCUGUUUCUCGUGAUACUUUUGCUUAUUUUCAUACUUGCCCUGGAAUAAACCGACUUUGCAAAGGUCUGCGUCAAAUAGGUCAUAUGAAUCCUCAGUUUUCUUAUGUUCUUCAGAAAACUCUCUCUAUGUUAUUUGCUCCUACUUUGCCAACAAGAAUUCUCUUUUAUCUUAAAGCUAGUUUUAAAAUAUUUUGUAACAGAGCACUAACAAGACCUAACUGAAAUGCACACAAGAUGAUGAUUACCCAAGAGAACCUGAACAUCCUUGUGCUUCUAAGUCAACAGCUCCCUCUACCGGCCGAGCACAUUUAGGGGUCAGCCGUAACCAAGACCAGCCCGCUGGCGUGCUUUCUAUGUGAUAACCUGCUUUUACUUUGUCAGAUCUUAGCUAUCUCUUAUAUUUUCUGUCCUUGAGGCCACAAACUUCCCUCCUUUUUUGCUUCCCUUUUCUAUUUGCAAGGGUAGUGGACCCUGCGCCAGCAUACUAUGUUUUCUUUCCCGUACCUAUAAAAUUACCAAGAAUUACCCCCAAUUUUGGCCAGAGGCAUUAAAAGAGAAGUUGUUUCUCAGCUGACAAAGAACGGUAUUACUGUUUUAUAUAGGUGGUUGGAAAGUUGACCAAGUUUGGCCAACUUUGAAAAUCCUGGCUAUGCUUACAUAACUAAUCACAUAGACCUGCUGAGACCUUCAGAUAAGCAAGGGGCCCUUUCACCAGUAGAGGUAGGUUCUCAACCUGCAAAUAAUUUCCUCUGAGCUGUGGCCAACCUCCAGAGAAAGGAUUCACGCUUCAUACUGUUCUUUUGUUGGCUGUCAUUGAAAAAUUAUAUUAUAGAAAGUUAUCAAAAAUAGCUAAUUGUUCUUAAGAAGAGUAUGUAAAUCUGGAGCCUGUCCUUGUCUGUCACUCACUAAACACUGUCAAGCCUGAAAGAAGAGGAAGGGUAAUCUCUGGCUGGUGAAAACUUUGUGCCCUAAGUCUGCCAAGGUAACCAAGUGGUGAGUGUUUCCUCUCCCAUUACCAGCAAGAAAGUUGAUUUGCGGUUGUACAAAUUAUGGUGGGACUGCAGACCUAUUUGCUAUAACUAUUGGAAAUAAGGAUUCAGAUUUUUUAUCUAAGUAAGCACAUAGUUCCAACCCCUGCAGAAUGCAUUUUGAUAAAGGAAAGACUUUUGUUGGGUAACAGAAGGAAAAACAGGACUUAUUUAUACAGUGAAUGUUCCCUCUGUGAGGAGCUGCCCUCCGGUUACAGAUGUUUUCUCACUUUGGCCACCUCCACACUUGAUGCCAACGUGUUUUCCACCCCGUCUUGAAGGAAGGAGCCCAAGUCAUUGCUGCUCCUCUGGGUGAAAGGCCCUGAUUACCGUACUGCAUUUGUUUAUAGGGAGGUGCGUUUUUGCUAACUUGAAGGGAUAUACUGUAUUUUAAAUAAGUGUGUAACUUAAUAUUUUGGAUUUUUUUUUCCUCCUUUAAAACUGGACCUGAACACAGCUUUGCGUUGGUAUUUGUAAUAAUCUCAGGACCUGAAAGAUUGUAGCAUUUAGUGUGUCUUAAAAAUUAUGUACUGUACCAGCCAUGGAUUUUUGUAAAUAUACCUGUCUCCCUUUUUUGUAUUAUUUUAGUAAAAAAAUAAUAAUAAAUUUAAAUAAAAGGGGGUGGUGAUGAUACAUGAGUGGGUGUGGGUAUGUAUGUGUGUAUGUUUGUAUAAGGCUCUCUUGAGAUGAACUGGUGCUUGUUUAAUUUCCGGCUCUAAUCAGAGCAGGAAUAUGGACAAACUGCUGCUACUGAACCCUGCACUGAGCCACGGUGUUUCCAUUGUGUUUCCUAGCGAUCGAUUAAACACAGGCGACCAGUGGAUAAUUACGUUAAUUCUCCUCCUCCCGCUGCCACCUUGCCUUUGCAUUUUCGGUUCUACACCCCUUCUGAAUUUCAAUGGUAAAAGCUCUCCAAACUUUGGGUGGUUUGUGGCUCUCGAGUUUUUAGAGAGCUCUUGUCACUGUUCUCUAAGAAGAAAGAAGGACAGGCAAAUUUUUUUUUUAACCAAAACCAAAAACAAAAACCAAUCACAUUUCAUAAAACCGUGAUGAAUUGUGGAUACGUGAGAGGGCUUAAACAUUCCUAAAUGUGGAUCUGUGAAUUUAAUAAAUUAACCCCAUCGAUAUACUCCUUCAGUGCAGGGAUUUUUUUUUUUUUUUUUCUUGCAACAGCCUUGCUCAUAUUCCAGGUGUAGCUAAGCAAACCCCUGUUUUAAAGCAGGAGCCUUAUUUGAUUCAGUGUAGAUGUUUUCCUGUCUAUCCUUUGUGACAGGGCCUUUUACAUGAGUGUUUUUUCUUUUUGUAUGUGUUAUGUGUUUGUUGUAUUAAAUAAAGAGGAAUGUAC